rnacentral:rRNA from 1 species
GCUGUUAAGGGUUCGUAGUUGAAUUCAGAGUUGUGAGAAUUUUGCUGCUUCGUGCAGCUUUUCUCCCAACUCUGUCAUAGACGGGGCCGGAGUCUGCGGAAGCGGGCCUUCACUGGCACCGCGGUGCUAUUCAUCGAAGAGGUGAAUAUUACACAGCAAACGCCUGUAUUGACCGCCCGUCGUUUCACUGUGAACAAAACAGCGUGUUCAAAGCAGCCGCCUAGCGGUUGGAUGACAAGCAUGGAAUGACAAAGCAUCGACCAGUUGGUCCGUCUUUUGUCGGUUUUUACGAUCACGUGGAUAAUCCGUUUUCGAAGCCUUCCUUGUUUCAAAGGGUGCACGCACCCCUUGGGCCUGGACUUCGAUGAACACGGGAUUAAUGGGGGUUGUCGGGGGAAAACGUAUCUGAGCGUGGAGGUGAAAUUCUUAGACCGCUCGGGGACGAACUUAUGCGAAGGCAUUUUCCAAGUAUCCUUCAUCAAUCAAGAACUAAAGUGUGGAGAUCGAAGAUGAUUAGAUAAAGUUGUAGUCC